AGGUCAAAUGCAGUAGCUCAACUACUGUUCGCUUUGGAUACUGAAAGACUCGAGUGCGAGAGGGGUAAGUGGAAUUCCAUGUGUAGCGGUGAAAUGCGUAGAUAUAUGGAGGAACACCAGUGGCGAAGGCGGCUUACUGGCUCGUAACUGACACUCAGUCACGAAAGCGUGGGGAGCAAAUAGGAUUAGAUACCCUAGUAGUCCACGCUGUCAACGAUGGAUGCUAGAUAUUGGGGCAACUCAGUGUCGAAGCUAACGCGAUAAGCAUCCCGCCUGGGUAGUACGUUCGCAAGAAUAAAACUUAAAGGAAUUGACGGGAGCCCGCACAAGCAGUGGAGCAUGUGGUUUAAUUCGACGCUACGCGAAGAACCUCACCAGGACUUGACAUCUGGUUAAAUACCCUAGAGAUAGGGGGAUAGUCAUAGCCAAGACAGGUGGUGCAUGGUUGUCGUCAGCUCGUGUCGUGAGAUGUUGGGUUAAGUCCCGCAACGAGCGCAACCCUUGUCCUUAUUUGCCAUCAUUAAGUUGGGAACUAUAAGGAGACUGCCGAUGUAAAUCGGAGGAAGGUGGGGAUGACGUCAAAUCAUCAUGCCCUUUAUGUCCUGGGCCACACACGUGCUACAAUGGCCGAUACAAAGAGUCGCUAACCCGUAAGGAUCAGCCAAUCUCAAAAAAUCGGUCUCAGUUCAGAUUGAGGUCUGCAACUCGACCUCAUGAAGCUGGAAUUGCUAGUAAUCGCGAAUCAGCUACGUCGCGGUGAAUACGUUCUCGGGCUUUGUAC
rnacentral:rRNA from 1 species